GCGAAUGGCUCAUUACAACAGCUAUAAUUUACUUGACCUUGACAACCUACUUGGAUAACUGUGGUAAUUCUAGAGCUAAUACAUGCACCAAAGCUCCGAUCCUCGCGGAGAGGAGCGCAUUUGUUCGCCACAAAACCAAGCGCCCUUCUGGGCGUCCAGUGCUGAACCAGAACAACUCAGCUGAUCGCACGGUCUUGCACCGGCGACGUGUCUUUCAAGUGUCUGCCUUAUCAACUUUCGAUGGUAGUGUACCUGACUACCAUGGUUGUGACGGGUAACGGAGGAUAAGGGUUCGACUCCGGAGAAGGGGCCUGAGAAAUGGCCACUACGUCUAAGGAUGGCAGCAGGCGCGCAAAUUACCCACUCUCAACGCGAGGAGGUAGUGACGAGAAAUAACAAGACCGUUCUCCUACGAGGCCGGUUAUUGGAAUGGGUACAAUUUAAACCCUUUAACGAGUAUCUAUGAGAGGGCAAGUCUGGUGCCAGCAGCCGCGGUAAUUCCAGCU
rnacentral:rRNA from 1 species